UACGAAGGGGGCUAGCGUUGCUCGGAAUCACUGGGCGUAAAGGGUGCGUAGGCGGGUCUUUUAAGUCAGGGGUGAAAUCCUGGAGCUCAACUCCAGAACUGCCUUUGAUACUGAGGAUCUUGAGUUCGGGAGAGGUGAGUGGAACUGCGAGUGUAGAGGUGAAAUUCGUAGAUAUUCGCAAGAACACCAGUGGCGAAGGCGGCUCACUGGCCCAUUACUGACGCUGAGGCACGAAAGCGUGGGGAGCAAACAGG
rnacentral:rRNA from 1 species